GGGUUGUGAGGUUAAGCGACUAAGCGUACACGGUGGAUGCCCUGGCAGUCAGAGGCGAUGAAGGACGUGCUAAUCUGCGAUAAGCGUCGGUAAGGUGAUAUGAACCGUUAUAACCGGCGAUUUCCGAAUGGGGAAACCCAGUGUGUUUCGACACACUAUCAUUAACUGAAUCCAUAGGUUAAUGAGGCGAACCGGGGGAACUGAAACAUCUAAGUACCCCGAGGAAAAGAAAUCAACCGAGAUUCCCCCAGUAGCGGCGAGCGAACGGGGAGCAGCCCAGAGCCUGAAUCAGUGUGUGUGUUAGUGGAAGCGUCUGGAAAGGCGCGCGAUACAGGGUGACAGCCCCGUACACAAAAAUGCACAUGCUGUGAGCUCGAUGAGUAGGGCGGGACACGUGGUAUCCUGUCUGAAUAUGGGGGGACCAUCCUCCAAGGCUAAAUACUCCUGACUGACCGAUAGUGAACCAGUACCGUGAGGGAAAGGCGAAAAGAACCCCGGCGAGGGGAGUGAAAAAGAACCUGAAACCGUGUACGUACAAGCAGUGGGAGCACGCUUAGGCGUGUGACUGCGUACCUUUUGUAUAAUGGGUCAGCGACUUAUAUUCUGUAGCAAGGUUAACCGAAUAGGGGAGCCGAAGGGAAACCGAGUCUUAACUGGGCGUUAAGUUGCAGGGUAUAGACCCGAAACCCGGUGAUCUAGCCAUGGGCAGGUUGAAGGUUGGGUAACACUAACUGGAGGACCGAACCGACUAAUGUUGAAAAAUUAGCGGAUGACUUGUGGCUGGGGGUGAAAGGCCAAUCAAACCGGGAGAUAGCUGGUUCUCCCCGAAAGCUAUUUAGGUAGCGCCUCGUGAACUCAUCUCCGGGGGUAGAGCACUGUUUCGGCAAGGGGGUCAUCCCGACUUACCAACCCGAUGCAAACUGCGAAUACCGGAGAAUGUUAUCACGGGAGACACACGGCGGGUGCUAACGUCCGUCGUGAAGAGGGAAACAACCCAGACCGCCAGCUAAGGUCCCAAAGUCAUGGUUAAGUGGGAAACGAUGUGGGAAGGCCCAGACAGCCAGGAUGUUGGCUUAGAAGCAGCCAUCAUUUAAAGAAAGCGUAAUAGCUCACUGGUCGAGUCGGCCUGCGCGGAAGAUGUAACGGGGCUAAACCAUGCACCGAAGCUGCGGCAGCGACGCUUAUGCGUUGUUGGGUAGGGGAGCGUUCUGUAAGCCUGUGAAGGUGUACUGUGAGGUAUGCUGGAGGUAUCAGAAGUGCGAAUGCUGACAUAAGUAACGAUAAAGCGGGUGAAAAGCCCGCUCGCCGGAAGACCAAGGGUUCCUGUCCAACGUUAAUCGGGGCAGGGUGAGUCGACCCCUAAGGCGAGGCCGAAAGGCGUAGUCGAUGGGAAACAGGUUAAUAUUCCUGUACUUGGUGUUACUGCGAAGGGGGGACGGAGAAGGCUAUGUUGGCCGGGCGACGGUUGUCCCGGUUUAAGCGUGUAGGCUGGUUUUCCAGGCAAAUCCGGAAAAUCAAGGCUGAGGCGUGAUGACGAGGCACUACGGUGCUGAAGCAACAAAUGCCCUGCUUCCAGGAAAAGCCUCUAAGCAUCAGGUAACAUCAAAUCGUACCCCAAACCGACACAGGUGGUCAGGUAGAGAAUACCAAGGCGCUUGAGAGAACUCGGGUGAAGGAACUAGGCAAAAUGGUGCCGUAACUUCGGGAGAAGGCACGCUGAUAUGUAGGUGAAGUCCCUCGCGGAUGGAGCUGAAAUCAGUCGAAGAUACCAGCUGGCUGCAACUGUUUAUUAAAAACACAGCACUGUGCAAACACGAAAGUGGACGUAUACGGUGUGACGCCUGCCCGGUGCCGGAAGGUUAAUUGAUGGGGUUAGCGCAAGCGAAGCUCUUGAUCGAAGCCCCGGUAAACGGCGGCCGUAACUAUAACGGUCCUAAGGUAGCGAAAUUCCUUGUCGGGUAAGUUCCGACCUGCACGAAUGGCGUAAUGAUGGCCAGGCUGUCUCCACCCGAGACUCAGUGAAAUUGAACUCGCUGUGAAGAUGCAGUGUACCCGCGGCAAGACGGAAAGACCCCGUGAACCUUUACUAUAGCUUGACACUGAACAUUGAGCCUUGAUGUGUAGGAUAGGUGGGAGGCUUUGAAGUGUGGACGCCAGUCUGCAUGGAGCCGACCUUGAAAUACCACCCUUUAAUGUUUGAUGUUCUAACGUUGACCCGUAAUCCGGGUUGCGGACAGUGUCUGGUGGGUAGUUUGACUGGGGCGGUCUCCUCCUAAAGAGUAACGGAGGAGCACGAAGGUUGGCUAAUCCUGGUCGGACAUCAGGAGGUUAGUGCAAUGGCAUAAGCCAGCUUGACUGCGAGCGUGACGGCGCGAGCAGGUGCGAAAGCAGGUCAUAGUGAUCCGGUGGUUCUGAAUGGAAGGGCCAUCGCUCAACGGAUAAAAGGUACUCCGGGGAUAACAGGCUGAUACCGCCCAAGAGUUCAUAUCGACGGCGGUGUUUGGCACCUCGAUGUCGGCUCAUCACAUCCUGGGGCUGAAGUAGGUCCCAAGGGUAUGGCUGUUCGCCAUUUAAAGUGGUACGCGAGCUGGGUUUAGAACGUCGUGAGACAGUUCGGUCCCUAUCUGCCGUGGGCGCUGGAGAACUGAGGGGGGCUGCUCCUAGUACGAGAGGACCGGAGUGGACGCAUCACUGGUGUUCGGGUUGUCAUGCCAAUGGCACUGCCCGGUAGCUAAAUGCGGAAGAGAUAAGUGCUGAAAGCAUCUAAGCACGAAACUUGCCCCGAGAUGAGUUCUCCCUGAC
rnacentral:rRNA from 1 species